GUGAAUUGAACAAUUAAACAGAACAAGACAACGUAGAGGGAAAAUAAAUAAAAGAGGAUGAAAUGGUCAGUUUGAUCUGAUUUGUUCUCAGACGCAUAUUUUGUUUUAGGACUUUUGAGUGCAAAUGCACUAUUAAAAGCAGAUUUUGGAAUUAUUGCCUGAAAACCACAAGGAAUGAAGAGGAGCUCAAAUCUGUGCUAUAUCCAAAAGGAUGUAGAUAAAGACAUAUACAGAUGAGAUUAAGAGACUGUCCACAUCCACAAAUUCACGUGAGGAGAAUAUACUUGGUAUGGCCAUGAUGAGAUUAGCAGCACCCUGCAAGGCUGCAGACUGCAGUGAAUGCCAAUCAGAGGGGAACAAAAUGUUCCAUAAGAUUUACACCAGAAAUACUUUCCUCCUCUGGUGGAGCUGCAUACUAGCCAAGAGAAAACACUGAGCUCUCAGAUGUGAACGUGUGGAACUACACAUAUUUAAAUCAGGAUGUUGCUGGAGCAAGCAUCUGUAGUCUGUAAUCUUUAGUGACUUAACCUUCAUCCGGAUAAAGUGAUGUAAACAAACAUAUGUGAAAAACAUUUUGUCCUUCCGCAACACAAGGAACUAUUUGUUUGUUCCGUAAAUCCAGGGGCAAAAUUAAUAAAUGUACAUGAAAACAUUACAAUGUGACCUCUCCAUUUACUUU